rnacentral:rRNA from 1 species
UCCGUUUGAUCCCGGCGGAGGUCACUGCUAUCGGUGUUCGUCUAAGCCAUGCGAGUCAUAUGUUCUUCGUGAACAUGGCGUACUGCUCAGUAACACGUGGAUAACCUGCCCUUGGGUCCGGAAUAACCCCGGGAAACUGGGGAUAAUACCGGAUAACGCAUAUAUGCUGGAAUUCUUUAUGCGUGAAAUGGAUUCGUCUGCCCAAGGAUGGGUCUGCGGCCUAUCAGGUAGUAGUGGGUGUAAUGUACCUACUAGCCGACGACGGGUACGGGUUGUGAGAGCAAGAGCCCGGAGAUGGAUUCUGAGACAUGAAUCCAGGCCCUACGGGGCGCAGCAGGCGCGAAAACUUUACAAUGCGGGAAACCGUGAUAAGGGGACACCGAGUGCCAGCAUCAUAUGCUGGCUGUCCGGGUGUGUAAAAUACACCUGUUAGCAAGGGCCGGGCAAGACCGGUGCCAGCCGCCGCGGUAACACCGGCGGCCCGAGUGGUGAUCGUGUUUAUUGGGUCUAAAGGGUCCGUAGCCGGUUUGGUCAGUCCUCCGGGAAAUCUGACGGCUUAACCGUUAGGCUUUCGGGGGAUACUGCCAGACUUGGAACCGGGAGAGGUAAGAGGUACUACAGGGGUAGGAGUGAAAUCUUGUAAUCCCUGUGGGACCACCUGUGGCGAAGGCGUCUUACCAGAACGGGUUCGACGGUGAGGGACGAAAGCUGGGGGCACGAACCGGAUUAAAUACCCGGGUAGUCCCAGCCGUAAACGAUGCUCGCUAGGUGUCAGGCAUGGCGCGACCGUGUCUGGUGCCGCAGGGAAGCCGUGAAGCGAGCCACCUGGGAAGUACGGCCGCAAGGCUGAAACUUAAAGGAAUUGGCGGGGGAGCACAACAACGGGUGGAGCCUGCGGUUUAACUGGACUCAACGCCGGACAACUCACCGGGGGCGACAGCAAUAUGUAGGUCAGGCUGAAGACCUUGCCUGAAUCGCUGAGAGGAGGUGCAUGGCCGUCGCCAGUUCGUACUGUGAAGCAUCCUGUUAAGUCAGGCAACGAGCGAGACCCA